rnacentral:pre_miRNA from 1 species
UGGCUGCGCGCGACCGCGCCGUCCCGCAGGCCAGCGCCGCGCCACCGCGCGGUUCCGCAGCAGGGACAUGCGCCACCCGUUACAGCCAACUGAAAUCUGCACUGAUUUGAUUACAUGCGCACGUAUAUAUGCAGUGCAUGCAGCGAGUGUGCGCUGUUCCUGGAUUCGGUCGCGCGUGGCCGUGCUGCGGAACCGUGCGGUGGCGCGGCGCCGGCCUGCGGGACCGCGCAGUCGCGCGCAGCCAAGCCACGGGACCG